rnacentral:lncRNA from 1 species
UACAAAAAUAUUGAGUUUUUGGUAAAUAAUUUAUAUACUGAAGCCUAUAAUCUUUAGUGUGGUUUUAAAAUUUCUACCAUAUUCCACAUUUGUAUUAAUGUAUGCUAAACUCUUUUUCAUGGUAAAUGAGCAUCGUUCAAUUGUUUUUAUCAAUUAAUUUAGUAAAACUUCAUAAUACCCCCUAAAUCGAUGGAAUAACCAAUAUAAAAUUAUUAUUUUCUUGAUAAACGGAGAGCACAAAGGCUCCAAACCUCUUUGAACAUCAUCAUAUGUUAGUGCAGGAUUCAACUAGGCAUUAAAACAAUAUAGUCAUAUUUUUUAAAAUUUUCUCAAAAUCUAUGGGCUAACCCCUACAAAAAUAUUGAGUUUUUGGUAAAUACUUUAUAUACUGAAGCCUAUAAUCAUUAGUGUUGUUUUAAAAUUUAUACCAUAUUCUACAUUUGUAUUAAUGUAUGCUAAACUCUUUUUUCAUGGUAAAUGAGCAUCUUUCAAUUGUUUUUAUCAAAUAAUUUGAUAAAACUUCAUAAUACUCCCUAAAUCGAUGGAAUAACCACUAUAAAGUUAUUAUUUUCCUGAUAAAUGGAGACGACAAAAGCUCCAAACCUCUUUGAAAAUCAUCAUAUGUUAGUGCAGGAUGCAACUAGGCAUUGAAACAAUAUUGUCAUAUUUUUUGAAUAUUUCUCAAAAUAUAUGGGCUAACCCCUACAAAAAUAUUGAGUUUUUGGUAAAUACUUUGUAUAUUGAAGCCUAUAAUCUUUAGUGUUGUUUUAAAAUUUAUACCAUAUUCUACAUUUGUAUUAAUCUAUGCUAAACUCUUUUCAUGGUAAAUGAGCAUCUUUCAAUUGUUUUUAUCAAAUAAUUUAAUAAAACUUCAUAAUACUCCCUAAAUCGAUGGAAUAACCACUAUAAAGUUAUUAUUAUCCUGAUAAAUGGAGACGACAAAGGCUCCAAACCUCUUUGAAAAUCAUCAUAUGUUAGCGCAGGAUGCAACUAGGCAUUGAAACAAUAUUGUCAUAUUUUUUGAAAUUUUCUCAAAAUCUAUGGGCUAACCCCUCCAAAAAUAUUGAGUUUUUGGUAAAUACUUUAUAUAUUGAAGCCUAUAAUCUUUAGUGUUGUUUUAAAAUUUCUACCAUAUUCUACAUUUGUAUUAAUGUAUGCUAAAAUCUUUUUCAUGGUAAAUGAGCAUCGUUCAAUUGUUUUUAUCAAUUAAUUUAGGAAAACUUCAUAAUACCCCCUAAAUCGAUGGAAUAACCAAUAUAAAAUUAUUAUUUUCUUGAUAAACGGAUACGACAAAGGCUUCAAACCUCUUUGAAAAUCAUCAUAUGUUAGUGCAGGAUGCAACUAGGCAUUAAAACAAUAUUGUCAUAUUUUUUGAAAUUUUCUCAAAAUCUAUGGGCUAACUA